rnacentral:rRNA from 1 species
CAGGUGGUGCAUGGUUGUCGUCAGCUCGUGUCGUGAGAUGUUGGGUUAAGUCCCGCAACGAGCGCAACCCUUGAUCUUAGUUGCCAGCAUUUAGCUGGGCACUCUAAGGUGACUGCCGGUGACGAACCGGAGGAAGGUGGGGUUGACGUCAAAUCAUCCUGUCCCUUAUGACCUGCGCUACACACGUGCUACAAUGGAUGGUACAAAGGGCUGCAAGACCGCGAGGUCAAGCCAAUCCAAUAAAACCAUUCUCAGAUCGGAUUGUAGGCUGCAACUCGCCUACAUGGAGCUCGAAUCGCUAGUAAUCGCGGAUCAGCAUGCCGCGGUGAAUACGUUCCCGGGCCUUGUACACACCGCCCGU